rnacentral:rRNA from 1 species
AGUGAACGCUGGCGGUAGGCCUAACACAUGCAAGUCGAACGGCAGCACAGUAAGAGCUUGCUCUUACGGGUGGCGAGUGGCGGACGGGUGAGGAAUACAUCGGAAUCUACUUUUUCGUGGGGGAUAACGUAGGGAAACUUACGCUAAUACCGCAUACGACCUACGGGUGAAAGCAGGGGAUCUUCGGACCUUGCGCGAUUGAAUGAGCCGAUGUCGGAUUAGCUAGUUGGCGGGGUAAAGGCCCACCAAGGCGACGAUCCGUAGCUGGUCUGAGAGGAUGAUCAGCCACACUGGAACUGAGACACGGUCCAGACUCCUACGGGAGGCAGCAGUGGGGAAUAUUGGACAAUGGGCGCAAGCCUGAUCCAGCCAUACCGCGUGGAUGAAGAAGGCCUUCGGGUUGUAAAGCCCUUUUGCUGGGAAAGAAAAGCAGCAGGUUAAUACCCCGCUGUUCUGACGGUACCCAAAGAAUAAGCACCGGCUAACUUCGUG